rfam:Aspergillus sydowii CBS 593.65 ASPSYscaffold_2_Cont145, whole genome shotgun sequence.
ACGGGUGUGUGGGCCUAGCUCAGAAUCCAUUUCUUGCCUUUUACCAGAGAUGGCCGUGGGCCACGCAAAAUACCCUACUUUUCAAUCUUUGGAAUACUCCUAUCGACAUAGUCG